AUUAAACGCUGGCGGCAUGCCUUACACAUGCAAGUCGAACGGCAGCACGGGGGCAACCCUGGUGGCGAGUGGCGGACGGGUGAGUAAAGCAUCGGAACGUAUCCUGGAGUGGGGGAUAACGUAGCGAAAGUUACGCUAAUACCGCAUAUUCUGUGAGCAGGAAAGCAGGGGGAUCGCAAGACCUUGCGCUCUGGGAGCGGCCGAUGUCGGAUUAGCUAGUUGGUGGGGUAAAGGCCUACCAAGGCGACGAUCCGUAGCGGGUCUGAGAGGAUGAUCCGCCACACUGGGACUGAGACACGGCCCAGACUCCUACGGGAGGCAGCAGUGGGGAAUUUUGGACAAUGGGCGGAAGCCUGAUCCAGCCAUGCCGCGUGAGUGAAGAAGGCCUUCGGUUG
rnacentral:rRNA from 1 species